GUUAACAAACACAGUAAAACAAUGAAAUUGAGUUACAUGCUGUAAUUAAAUUCACAAUGCACAACAACCUGUAACCUUGUUCUUAUUAACCCACUGAGCCAGCGAUGAAGUUUUUAACAGCUUAACAUUAAAUGCAUAGGGCACGCAAUGCUCAAAGCUAAAACCAUUAUAAUAACUAAUAUUUAGAGUAUUACAUUAACAAUAGAAAAAUGGCCUAGGAACGUGAAAGGAAAAAAGGAUUUAAGCCUAACCAAGUUAUCUAACAUUAACUGAACGUCAUUUAAAAGGACAACUGGUUUUUGAUGCACCUAUGAAUAAGCCAGGAAAAAAUGUUUGCUAACUCUCGGUACCUUCUGCCCUCUGCUCCCUGCAUACAGAAGGUAGAUUCAAUAUAUUCUGGCUACAUGAGAUCUCCACCCAAGAAGGGUUUGAAUAAGAAAAGCCAUAAGGGUGCAUCUGACACGGUGUCAAAAACAGAACGUUUUUACAGCAUUGCCUCACACAGAUACAUGCCACUACUACAAAGGUGGAAUCUAAUAAGUUCAUUAACCCUAACCAGGGAGAAUGUGUUACUUCAUAUAUGAACUGGGUUAUCCAUUACUGUUAAAUGUUUAAGAACCAAAAUUAUCAGCAAAAUACAUAAUGUAAAAUUUGAGCAGAGUUCUUUUUUAUUAGCUUCAUCUAAUUUAAAAUAAAAGCCCCACAUCUUUAAUUUCCAGGAAGAUCUUAAUAUACUGAAGAAUUAUUUCAAAUAUUUGCUAGCCAGUGGAGGGAAAAAAAAAAGUCAUGAUAUACACAAGACUAAAAUGAGGACAGAAAGAUAUGUUUUCAAUAAGCUUAUCCAAAUUUGUCUUCCCAUUUGUUUUUAACUGUAUGGAUGUGAGGCCAUAAAGCAAUAUAAAAUUGAGCCAGCAAUAUAAAAUUGAGCCAUCUUGUAGGUUUACAAAGUUGACCUGCUACCCACAAUCACUGCACUAAUACACUGCAAAGUGAAAUACAUUCACACGAUUAUUUGCAGAACUAUCUGCAGCUAAAAUAUCCAGCUACAAAAAAUAUCACACUACGACGUCUAUGAAGAAGGGGUGAAGAACCGUGUAUACCGCCACUGAAAUUUUUUCAUUUAACCUCACAGAAAGGAGCAUUACAUCACACUCUUACAAUGCAGGAGGAGGGGCCUGUUCUCAGAAAGCAAGCUCCAGCUAUUUCCCUUUAAUUUUCUGCUUGGUU